rnacentral:rRNA from 1 species
CAGCAGUAGGGAAUCUUCCACAAUGGGCGAAAGCCUGAUGGAGCAACGCCGCGUGUGUGAUGAAGGCUUUCGGGUCGUAAAGCACUGUUGUAUGGGAAGAACAGCUAGAAUAGGAAAUGAUUUUAGUUUGACGGUACCAUACCAGAAAGGGACGGCUAAAUACGUGCCAGCAGCCGCGGUAAUACGUAUGUCCCGAGCGUUAUCCGGAUUUAUUGGGCGUAAAGCGAGCGCAGACGGUUUAUUAAGUCUGAUGUGAAAGCCCGGAGCUCAACUCCGGAAUGGCAUUGGAAACUGGUUAACUUGAGUGCAGUAGAGGUAAGUGGAACUCCAUGUGUAGCGGUGGAAUGCGUAGAUAUAUGGAAGAACACCAGUGGCGAAGGCGGCUUACUGGACUGCAACUGACGUUGAGGCUCGAAAGUGUGGGUAGCAAACAGGAUUAGA